rnacentral:misc_RNA from 1 species
GUAACCGAUUUCCGGUGGUAAAUGACCAGAAAAUGAAUUAAUGCCAAUGUAAAGAUCAGUGAGGUUUUUGAGGUUACCUAUUUCUGGAGGGAUUUCUCCUGAGAAUGAGUUGUUUGAUAUAUCCAGAGAUGUUAGAGAUGGAAGAUUAUGGAAGAGAGUUGCAGGGAAAGAACCUGACAAAAGGUUGCUCCCUAGGUCCAGGAAUUGCAAUCGGGUCAGCUCGCCGAGUUGACUCGGCACUGUUCCAACAAGUGCGUUACCAGACAAAUCGAGCGUAUGGAGUUGCGUUAAUUUUCCAAGCUCUGGUGGGAUUUUUCCGGUGAAUGAGUUGGGACCGAGUUUGAGGGUUUUGAGUUGAGUCAACUCACUGAUUUGACUCGGGAUUUCUCCUGAUAACUGAUUAUCACCAAGACAAAGCUGUUUUAAGCUUUUUAGAGAGGAAAUUUGUAGAGGAAUGUCACCAAAGAAAAGAUUUGAUGACAAGUCGAGGAUGGUGAGGCUGGCGACAGAGAAAAGUGAAUGGGGGAUAGGUCCGUCCAGUAGCAUAUCUGGGAGGGUAAGAGAGGUAACUCGACCCUGUUGGCAAGCAACACCAACCCAGUUGCAGUGGUGGGCUGACUGGUUCCAUGAAGAAAGAAGAUGCGGGUUUUUAAGGACGGCUUUGAAG